rnacentral:lncRNA from 1 species
UUAAACACACAACCUAAAGAUUCAUAACUCCUCUAAACAGGUAUUAUGUGUUAACUACCUCCUAGAAGCUGGCAGCAACCAGUCUGGACGAGACAGUCCCUGCUCCUAAUCAACUCUGAACACAGAAGGUGGAGGCGAAACACAUCUCUCACCAAAAUAAGAGGUAAUAAAUGCUGUCACGAUGCCCCAGGCCUGGUACCAAACAGAAGAGUGGGGUUAAUAUUGACGGAACUUGUUUGAAUUUAAUCCCAAAGGGCACCCUGAGACAGAAGGGUCUGUUUAGGCCUUGAAGGAUAAGUAAAACGUAAUACAACAGACAAAUGUGAAAGUACAUUCCAGCAAGAAAAGACAGCGAGCUAAAAAUGGACAGUUUAUCCAUCAAGAUUUUUUUUUUUAAUUUUCGAACGCCAACUCCAGUCUUUGUCUUAUAUU